rnacentral:lncRNA from 1 species
GAAAACACUCUACACCAUUCAAGGCCCGUGUCACACAAGAGUUGGUGCACCUCAUCUCACAUGAUCUUUAUGGAGCUUAAAAUGGAUGUUUCCUUAAAUGGCUCAUUCCAAAUAUUCCCAUGGCGACCUGGAGAGUUUCCAUAUCACUUAUAAGCUUCAUUACACCCUCUAGGAUGCACCACACCACACUUGAUCAGGAGGAUCAAUUCUG